GUCUGGCCUGCCCACUGAAAAUUUUUGAAGGGCCGCAGUAUUAAUUGUGCUAAGGUAGCAUAGUAAUUAGUCUUUUAAUUGGGGACUAGAAUGAAUGGUUAGACGAAGUAUAUAUUGUUUUUUAUUUAUAGUAUAGAAUUUAUUCUUUUAAUUAAAAAAUUAAAAUGAAUUAGAAAGACGAGAAGACCCUAUAGAUCUUUAUAUAAAAUUAUAAUUAAUUUUAUAUUUUAUUGGGGUGAUUAAAAAAUUUAUUUAACUUUUUAAAAAAUUUUACAUUAAUUUUUGAUUUAUUUAUUAUGAUCUAUUAUUAUAAAUUAAGAUUUAAGAUACCUUAGGGAUAACAGCGUAAUUUUAAUUUUAAGUUCUUAUUAAAAUUAAAGAUUGCGACCUCGAUGUUGGAUUAAAAUUAAUUUUAAAUGUAGCCGUUUAAUAAUUAGGUCUGUUCGACCUUUAAAUUUUUACGU
rnacentral:rRNA from 1 species